AUAUCAAUAAGCGGGGAAAAGAAACUAACAAGGAUUCCCCUAGUAACUGCGAGUGAAGCGGGAAAAGCUCAAAUUUAAAAUCUGGCGGUCUCUGGCCGUCCGAGUUGUAAUCUAGAGAAGUGUUAUCCGCGCUGGACCGUGUACAAGUCUCCUGGAAUGGAGCGUCAUAGAGGGUGAGAAUCCCGUCUUUGACACGGACUGCCAGGGCUUUGUGAUGCGCUCUCAAAGAGUCGAGUUGUUUGGGAAUGCAGCUCAAAAUGGGUGGUAAAUUCCAUCUAAAGCUAAAUAUUGGCGAGAGACCGAUAGCGAACAAGUACCGUGAGGGAAAGAUGAAAAGAACUUUGGAAAGAGAGUUAAACAGUACGUGAAAUUGCUGAAAGGGAAACGCUUGAAGUCAGUCGCGUUGGCCGGGGAUCAACCUUGCUUUUGCUGGGCGUACUUCCCGGUUGACGGGUCAGCAUCAAUUUUGACCGUUGGAUAAAGUUCAGGGGAAUGUGGCAUCUUCGGAUGUGUUAUAGCCCUUGGUCGCAUACAACGGUUGGGAUUGAGGAACUCAGCACGCCGCAAGGCCGGGUACUUGUACCACGUUCGUGCUUAGGAUGCUGGCAUAAUGGCUUUAAUCGACCCGUCUUGAAACACGGACCAAGGAGUCUAACAUGCCUGCGAGUGUUUGGGUGGAAAACUCGGACGCGUAAUGAAAGUGAAAGUUGAGAUCCCUGUCGUGGGGAGCAUCGACGCCCGGACCAGACCUUUUGUGACGGAUCCGCGGUAGAGCAUGUAUGUUGGGACCCGAAAGAUGGUGAACUAUGCCUGAAUAGGGUGAAGCCAGAGGAAACUCUGGUGGAGGCUCGUAGCGAUUCUGACGUGCAAAUCGAUCGUCAAAUUUGGGUAUAGGGGCGAAAGACUAAUCGAAUCAUCUAGUAGCU
rnacentral:rRNA from 1 species